rnacentral:miRNA from 1 species
UGGAGGGCAAACUCUCUUGACGUA